AAUCAACGCUGGCGGCGCGCUUAACACAUGCAAGUCGAACGAGAAAGCCCGCAAGGGUGAGUAAAGUGGCGUACGGGUGAGUAACACGUGGGUAAUCUGCCUUUUGGUGGGGAAUAACCCUGGGAAACCGGGGCUAAUACCGCAUAAGCUCGAAAGAGGAAAAGAGAAAUCUGCCGAAAGAGGAGCCCGCGGCUGAUUAGCUAGUUGGUGAGGUAAAGGCUCACCAAGGCGAAGAUCGGUAGCCGGCCUGUGAGGGCACACGGCCACACUGGCACUGAAACACGGGCCAGACUCCUACGGGAGGCAGCAGUGGGAAUCUUGCACAAUGGGGGAAACCCUGAUGCAGCGACGCCGCGUGAGCGAUGAAGCCCUUCGGGGUGUAAGCUCUUUCGACCGGAACGAUAAUGACGGUACCGGGAGAAGAAGCUGCGGCUAACUACGUGCCAGCAGCCGCGGUAAUACGUAGGCAGCGAGCGUUGUUCGGAGUUACUGGGCGUAAAAGCGUGCGUAGGCGGUUUUGUAAGUUUGGUGUGAAAAUCUCCCGGCUCAACUGGGAGGGUGCGCCGAAAACUGCAAGGCUGGAGUGUGGGAGAGGUAGGCGGAAUUCCUGGUGUAGCGGUGAAAAUGCGUAGAUAUCAGGAGGAACACCUGUGGUGUAGACGGCUUACUGGACCAUGACUGACGCUGAGGCACGAAAGCGUGGGGAGCAAAACAGGAUUAGAUACCCUGGUAG
rnacentral:rRNA from 1 species